GGGGAAAGAAAGUGUAUUGUGAGAUAAGAUUUAGAAAACAGGUUUUGGCAUUACGGAAAUGCUUGACUAUACAAGGAAGAUAAACAACAGAGAAGGCAGUGACUGAGAGAGGUAGGCACAGAAACAAGGUGGUUUACACAGGUUGUACAACUGCUUUGCAAGUGCUGUUAACUUGUUUGAAAAAAAGAGACACUAAGGUUUACUGGAUAUGACUUAAAGGAUGAAUGUAAAGGACCUGUAGAGGAUGAAAGAAAAUGAGAGGCUAUGGAGGAAGAAACAGCAAAGAGCGAUGUGAGAAAUGGUCUGCGGAAUGAUAUUCCACUACUGCAGUCUAUGCUGGCGAAACUUAGUCUACAACACAAACAUCCCAUUUCACACCAAGAUAAAAAAGUUUGUAAAAGUGUGUUUUACAGUGAAGAACGUUUAACAAAUGAAGAAGACAGGAAAGAUAGCACAGUCAGAUCUUAUGGUGAUGAGGAGCAACCAACUAGGAGUUCUGAAACAGAAGAUGGAAAUGAAGUUGUUGAAGAGGUCAAAGAUGCCCUUACUAAUCAGGAGAGGAAGAACUUUCUCCCUGUGUCUUUGUCCACAGAAAUACAAGCUUCAGAAUUAAGUCAGCAGCCAAGUAAAAAUGAGUUUCUGGAGGACAAAAAGAACAAAGAGACUAGCACUGAAGAGCAAGUGGCUGAAGCUGCAUUAUUGCCUAACAAUCUAUCUCAAGAAACAUCUGCACAUACAUCUUACCUCUCUGUGUCCUCAGAUAAAGUAGACUAUGCACAGGCAGGGUUUAAGCUUGAACCAUUAGAUGAAGCUUGUGGUAGUCCUUCAAAUCCAGUCAGUAUGGACACCAGCAGGGUUCUAACCCAUCAAACUGCUGUCAACCUUACAAGCAAGACAACAAGGUCUGCUUCAGAUCCAGUAAAACACACGCCUAAGGAAAAGAGACCCCUGUCAGCUCCAAGUAUUUCAAACCAAUGGGAAUAUGAAGAUAUUGCAAAUGCAAUGUCAACAAAAAGCUUCAACAAAGCUGCUAAGAUUUUGGCACAGGAGGAUUCAGGCAUGAGCACCGGGGGUGCAGAACAUGACAACCCGCUCAACAAAACUCAAAAGAAAGGAGUGAAAAACAAAAUGAAGACUCUUACUCAGAAACUGAUGGAAAAGCUUAAAGAUAAACAUUAUUGUGAGCACACCAGCAGCAAGAGCACCCAAGACAGUGUGGAGGAAGAAGGACAAAAUCUGAAUGUCAUGGAGAUGGAAGCCAAGGCUCCAGAGAUUCCACCACCACUUCCACCGAAAAAGGGGAAAUAUGUUUUCUUAGACAGAAGAUUUACCUUAAAAGACUUCAAACUCGAUCUUGAACCGAUCAACUUAAUGGAGGAAAUAUUCUCUGGGAGCGAAUGGCUCAGUUACCUGCCCAGCAAAGAAAGUCCAUCUGAGAAAGACACUAGUGAUCAGUCAAUGACAAACGAUGUUCUCCAACCAGAAAAGGGUAUUCAGCUCAACGUUCCUCUUCCAACACCAGAGCAGGACCAGUCAGAAGACAUAAAGGACAAUCAAGACAGUGUUAGCGAUCCUCAAGAGGACAAUGUAGCAAAAGCGAACAGUGACUUGGAUGUAAAACAUCUGGAACAGGAUCCAAACAUAUUUGCCAUACCUAAGGCACUGCUAACAAGUAAUGCAAUAAAACAAAGGGCUGGGAUAGACUGUGAGCCAAACAAAUCAGAAGACAUCUGUGAUCGUAUGGACAUGUAUAUUAUUCCCAGAAAUGACUUUCCAUUAAUGAAAAGAAAGGCAUCAGAUGCUCCACUGGACUUUUCAGCAGUCAAGUCAUUUGAAUUUCUAGACAACUCUGCCCUCAAGAGUCGAAUUCGUCUUAGCAAAAAGAGACACCACCGACCACCCAAAAAGCACAAAAAAGUAAAAACAGAAAUGUUGAGUGCCAUAUUCUACAAGAUUCCCCCUGUGAUACUGAAUGAAUCCCCUGUCAGCGCAUCUCAACCACGUCAUAGCAUCCCCCUUUCCACAUCUCCUCCCCUGCAUUCACCAUCACAUCCAUAUCACUCCUAAACAGUUACUCCAUGAGAUGACGUCAUGAUCAUGGUCAUUAAUCUAUGAAACCCAAAGCACAAACAGAGAAAGACCAUAUUGCAUAAAAUCUAUUCCAUUGUUCAAUCAGAAUUUAUUGUGUGAUCGUUGUAUCAAUGGUGUGCCUUGUUUCAAGGCAUGAAAAAGUGUGGGAUUGUUUUGCACACAAUUUUGAACUUUCCUGAAAGUUCCACAGUCACAACUCUGAUAUGAAUGAAUAAUAGGCCUAUAAAAAUAAUAAACUAAAAAAUGACAUAUUACA
ensembl:lncRNA